rnacentral:rRNA from 1 species
GAUGAACGCUGGCGGCGUGCCUAAUACAUGCAAGUCGAGCGAACAGACGAGGAGCUUGCUCCUCUGACGUUAGCGGCGGACGGGUGAGUAACACGUGGAUAACCUACCUAUAAGACUGGGAUAACUUCGGGAAACCGGAGCUAAUACCGGAUAAUAUAUUGAACCGCAUGGUUCAAUAGUGAAAGACGGUUUUGCUGUCACUUAUAGAUGGAUCCGCGCCGCAUUUGCUAGUUGGUAAGGUAACGGCUUACCAAGGCAACGAUACGUAGCCGACCUGAGAGGGUGAUCGGCCACACUGGAACUGAGACACGGUCCAGACUCCUGCGGGAGGCAGCAGUAGGGAAUCUUCCGCAAUGGGCGAAAGCCUGACGGAGCAACGCCGCGUGAGUGAUGAAGGUCUUCGGAUCGUAAAACUCUGUUAUUAGGGAAGAACAAAUGUGUAAGUAACUAUGCACGUCUUGACGGUACCUAAUCAGAAAGCCACGGCUAACUACGUG